GAUGAAGAACGCAGCGAAAUGCGAUAAGUAAUGCGAAUUGCAGAAUUUCCGUGAGUCAUCGAAUCUUUGAACGCACAUUGCGCCCACUGGUAUUCCGGUGGGCAUGCCUGUUCGAGCGUCAUUAUCCUCCCUCAAACCCCGGGUUUGGUGUUGGACCCAAGUUGUGUGAACAACUGGUCUUAAAGACAAUGACGGCGUCCGUGGGACCCUCGGUGCAACGAGCUUUUAGGAGCACGCAUCGAGUUGCAAGGACCUUCCGGGCCGGUCUCCUUUACUAUUUUACAAGGUUGACCUCGGAUCAGGUAGGAAUACCCACUGAACUUAAGCAUAUCAAUAAGCGGAGGA
rnacentral:misc_RNA from 1 species